rnacentral:rRNA from 1 species
UACGUAGGGUGCGAGCGUUGUCCGGAAUUAUUGGGCGUAAAGGGCUCGUAGGCGGUUUGUCGCGUCGGGAGUGAAAUCAUCUGGCUUAACUGGGUGCUUGCUUUCGAUACGGGCAGACUAGAGGUAUGCAGGGGAGAACGGAAUUCCUGGUGUAGCGGUGAAAUGCGCAGAUAUCAGGAGGAACACCGGUGGCGAAGGCGGUUCUCUGGGCAUGAUCUGACGCUGAGGAGCGGAAAGUGUGGGGAGCGAACAGG